UCCCGGAGGAGAUCAUCCAACUCGUCACUUUUUCAAUGGGCUCCCCAACGACAAAGCGACAACGCAUUCGUAUGUCAUCCAUAUCAACUUCCGAUGCCAUUUACUGCGCCUACCAUGUUGACCACAGGUAACGGGAAUCAGGGUUCGAUUCCAGAGAGGGAGCCUGAGAAAUGGCUACCACAUGCAAGGAUGGCAGAGGGCGCGCAAAUGACCCACUCCCAACGCGGGAAGGUAGUGACGA
rnacentral:rRNA from 1 species